rnacentral:tRNA from 1 species
GUCAGAAUGGCCGAGUAGUCUAAGGCGCCAGACUCAAGUUCUGGUCCACGAAUGUGGGCGUGGGUUCGAAUCCCACUUCUGACA